rnacentral:rRNA from 1 species
GACGAACGCUGGCGGCGUGCUUAACACAUGCAAGUCGAGCGGUAAGGCCCUUUCGGGGUACGACGAGCGGCGAACGGGUGAGUAACACGUGGGUGACCUGCCCUCAGCUCUGGGAUAAGCCUGGGAAACCGGGUCUAAUACCGGAUAUGACUCCAUGACGCAUGUUGUGGGGUGGAAAGCCUUGUGCGGCUGAGGAUGGGCCCGCGGCCUAUCAGCUUGUUGGUGGGGGAUGGCCUACCAAGGCGACGACGGGUAGCCGGCCUGAGAGGGCGACCGGCCACACUGGGACUGAGACACGGCCCAGACUCCUACGGGGAGGCAGCAGUGGGGAAUCUUGCGCAAUGGGCGAAAGCCUGACGCAGCGACGCCGCGUGAGGGAUGACGGCCU